CGCAGCAGCACGAGAGCGACCCAUUUGCUGGCAGACAAUCCAGUCUCAUUACAAGGCAAACGUGAUGGGGCUGUUUUCUGCGCUUAACCCCGUCUUCCAAUAAUUGGAAAAAUGCAGUGCAUUGCACUUGAUUGCACAACUCCUCGUCAGCGUUAGGGAACGGACUGCAUUGCUCGGGGCGAACAUCGUUCUCCUCGCGGUUCCGUAGUCCCG
rnacentral:sRNA from 10 species